UAACUUCAACCCAAAUUCUGUCGCAUCUAUAAUAAAAUACAAUAAUUAACUUAAUUUUAUUGAAUAAAAAGCCCAAAACUGAUAAAUUCCUCACAAAGUAAACGGUCAAGAGAUGUUGAGACAAUCUAAACUUGUAACAUAAAGAGGAAUUUAUUUAUAUAUCCACUACUAUUACUUUGAGAUUAUUUUGUUGAAUACGAAAUGAGUUGAGAGCAUUUAGUUCUGACGAUCAAGAAGGAAUAUCACACAGGAUUCAUCAUCAUGCAAAUGUUGAGGUUAUGCUGCUCUACAUCAUACGUACUAAAGAAAUAAAUAAAAAGAAUUAACGAAAAUAAAAUAAGUGUGAGAGUAGAAUCCGUGACGCCAACUAAAGUAAUACAUGAACAGUGUCUUCACCUAUAAUUAAUAAAUAAUGUACUAGUGGAAAUGAGACGUUGGUUUUUAUAAUUGGAAGUGGAAUUUUAUAAUUAUUUUCGAUUCAUCAUCAUCAUCAGCCCAUUAACGUUCCCACUGCUGGAGCACGGGCCUUCCCUACAGAGUGAUAGGGAGAUCGGGCAAUAAACCAUCACGCGGGCCCAGUGCAGAUUGAUGGUUAUUAUCAACUGCUAAUGCAGCCGGGACCAAUGGCUUAACAUGCCUUCCGAAGCACAGAGGAGCUCGAGAUGAAAACUUUUUUUUUUGUGGUUCGAUUAUGUUGAAUAAAUUAAUCUUUAAUCUCAAACAUCUUUUUUAAAUACUCUCCCAGUAAUAAUUUUUGGGUAGUGACAAGAAUUGAGAAAAGUAUACUGCAAUAUAUUAUAAUAGUUUAAACAUAUCAAAAGAAUGAAUGAAUAUCAACAGAGUUUUUAAACAAAUGCCAAAAUGUACAAACUACAAA
rnacentral:lncRNA from 1 species